rnacentral:rRNA from 1 species
GGUUGCCAAACCGCAAGGUGGAGCUAAUCUCAAAAAACCGGUCUAAGUUCGGAUUGGUCUCUGCAACUCGGGACCAUGAAGCUGGAAUCGCUAGUAAUCGCUGAUCAGCAUGCAGCGGUGAAUACGUUCCCGGGCCUUGUACACACCGCCCGUCACACCACGAAAGUUGUCUAUACCAGAAGUGCGUCACCUAACCGCAAGGAAGGAGCGUCCCAAGGUAUGGGCAAUGAUUGGGGUGAAGUCGUAACAAGGUAGCCGUAGGGGAACCUGCGGCUGGAUCACCUCCUUUCUAAGG